GAUGAAGAACGUAGCGAAAUGCGAUAAGUAAUGUGAAUUGCAGAAUUCAGUGAAUCAUCGAAUCUUUGAACGCACAUUGCGCCCGCCAGUAUUCUGGCGGGCAUGCCUGUUCGAGCGUCAUUUCAACCAUCAAGCCCCCGGCUUGUGUUGGGGACCUGCGGCUGCCGCAGGCCCUGAAAAGCAGUGGCGGGCUCGCUGUCACACCGAGCGUAGUAGAUUUCAUCUCGCUCAGGGCGUGCUGCGGGUUCCGGCCGUUAAACCACCUUCAUAACCCAAGGUUGACCUCGGAUCAGGUAGGAAGACCCGCUGAACUUAAGCAUAUCAUAAGCGGAGGA
rnacentral:misc_RNA from 1 species